GACGAACGCUGGCGGCGUGCUUAACACAUGCAAGUCGAACGGAAAGGCCCUGCUUUUGUGGGUUGCUCGAGUGGCGAACGGGUGAGUAACACGUGAGUAACCUGCCCUUGACUUUGGGAUAACUUCAGGAAACUGGGGCUAAUACCGGAUAUGAGCUCCUGCUGCAUGGUGUGGUUUGGAAAGUUUCGGCGGUUGGGGAUGGACUCGCGGCUUAUCAGCUUGUUGGUGGGGUAGUGGCUUACCAAGGCUUUGACGGGUAGCCGGCCUGAGAGGGUGACCGGCCACAUGGGGACUGAGAGACGGACCAGACUGCUACGGGAGGCAGCAGGGGGGAAUAUUGCACAAUGGGCGGAAGCCUGAUGCAGCAACGCCGCGUGCGGGAUGACGGCCUUCGGGUUGUAAACAGAUUUCGACUGUGACGAAGAGUGAGUGACGGUAAUGGGUAAAGAAGCACCGGCUAACUACGUG
rnacentral:rRNA from 1 species